AGCUCCAAUAGCGUAUACAUAAGUUGUUGCAGUUAAAAAGCUCGUAGUUGAACUUCUAAAUGGGCACAGUCGCGGCUUCAGCCAGGCUGAUGUCUAUUUAUCCGUCAGCAAGCUAAUUGGGCCUUAACUGGUUUCAGUUAGUAAGCUGACAUUUUACCUUGAAAAAAUUAGAGUGUUUCAGGCAGGUACUCGCCGGAAUA
rnacentral:rRNA from 1 species